CCUACGGGAGGCAGCAGUGAGGAAUAUUGGUCAAUGGACGAGAGUCUGAACCAGCCAAGUAGCGUGAAGGAUGACUGCCCUAUGGGUUGUAAACUUCUUUUAUAUGGGAAUAAAACGUUCCACGUGUGGGAUUUUGUAUGUACCAUAUGAAUAAGGAUCGGCUAACUCCGUGCCAGCAGCCGCGGUAAUACGGAGGAUCCGAGCGUUAUCCGGAUUUAUUGGGUUUAAAGGGAGCGUAGGUGGAUUGUUAAGUCAGUUGUGAAAGUUUGCGGCUCAACCGUAAAAUUGCAGUUGAAACUGGCAGUCUUGAGUACAGUAGGGGUGGGCGGAAUUCGUGGUGUAGCGGUGAAAUGCUUAGAUAUCACGAAGAACUCCGAUUGCGAAGGCAGUUCACUGGACUGCAACUGACACUGAGGCUCGAAAGUGUGGGUAUCAAACAGGAUUAGAUACCCUAGUAGUC
rnacentral:rRNA from 1 species